GAUGAACGCUGGCGGCGUGCCUAAUACAUGCAAGUCGAGCGAAUGGAUUAAGAGCUUGCUCUUAUGAAGUUAGCGGCGGACGGGUGAGUAACACGUGGGUAACCUGCCCAUAAGACUGGGAUAACUCCGGGAAACCGGGGCUAAUACCGGAUAACAUUUGAACCGCAUGGUUCGAAAUUGAAAGGCGGCUUCGGCUGUCACUUAUGGAUGGACCCGCGUCGCAUUAGCUAGUUGGGGAGGUAACGGCUCACCAAGGCAACGAUGCGUAGCCGACCUGAUAGGGUGAUCGGCCACACUGGGACUGAGACACGGCCCAGACUCCUACUGGAGGCAGCAGUAGGGAAUCUUCCGCAAUGGACGAAAGUCUGACGGAGCAACGCCGCGUGAGUAAUGAAGGCUUUCGGGUCGUAAAACUCUGUUGUUAGGGAAGAACAAGUGCUAGUUGAAUAAGCUGGCACCUUGACGGUACCUAACCAGAAAGCCACGGCUAACUACGUGCCAGCCGCCGCAGUAA
rnacentral:rRNA from 1 species